rnacentral:rRNA from 1 species
UACAGAGGAGGCAAGCGUUAUUCGGAAUUAUUGGGCGUAAAGGGCGCGUAGGCGGCCUGACAAGUGGAUGGUGAAAUCCCUCGGCUUAACCGAGGAACUGCCAUCCAGACUGUUUGGCUUGAGACCGGGAGAGGUGAGUGGAAUUCCCAGUGUAGCGGUGAAAUGCGUAGAUAUUGGGAGGAACACCAGUGGCGAAGGCGGCUCACUGGACCGGUACUGACGCUGAUGCGCGAAAGCGUGGGGAGCAAACGGG